CCUACGGGUGGCAGCAGUCGAGAAUCAUUCACAAUGGGGGAAACCCUGAUGGUGCGACGCCGCGUGGGGGAAUGAAGGUCUUCGGAUUGUAAACCCCUGUCAUGUGGGAGCAAAUUAAAAAGAUAGUACCACAAGAGGAAGAGACGGCUAACUCUGUGCCAGCAGCCGCGGUAAUACAGCGGUCUCAAGAGUUGUUCGGAAUCACUGGGCGUAAAGCGUGCGUAGGCUGUUUCGUAAGUCGUGUGUGAAAGGCGCGGGCUCAACCCGCGGACGGCACAUGAUACUGCGAGACUAGGGUAAUGGAGGGGGAACCGGAAUGCUCGGUGUAGCAGUGAAAUGCGGAGAUAUCGAGAGGAACACUCGUGGCGAAGGCGGGUUCCUGGACAUUAACUGACGCUGAGGCACGAAGGCCAGGGGAGCGAAAGGGAUUAGAUACCCGGGUAGUC
rnacentral:rRNA from 1 species